rnacentral:rRNA from 1 species
UACGUAGGGGGCAAGCGUUGUCCGGAUUUAUUGGGCGUAAAGAGCGUGUAGGCGGCCAGGUAGGUCUGCUGUGAAAACUCGAGGCUUAACCUCGAGAUGUCGGCGGAAACCAUCUGGCUAGAGUCCGGAAGAGGAGAGCGGAAUUCCUGGUGUAGCGGUGGAAUGCGCAGAUAUCAGGAGGAACACCAAUAGCGAAGGCAGCUCGCUGGGCCGUACCUGACACUGAUGCGCGACAGCAUGGGGAGCAAACAGG